rnacentral:rRNA from 1 species
UACGAAGGGUGCAAGCGCUACUCGGAAUUACUGGGCGUAAAGGGCGCGUAGGCGGCCUGCUAAGUCGAACGUGAAAUCCCCGGGCUUAAUCCGGGAACUGCGUCCGAUACUGGUUGGCUUGAAUCCGGGAGAGGGAUGUGGAAUUCCAGGUGUAGCGGUGAAAUGCGUAGAUAUCUGGAGGAACACCGGUGGCGAAGGCGACAUCCUGGACCGGCAUUGACGCUGAGGCGCGAAAGCCAGGGGAGCAAACGGG